rnacentral:lncRNA from 1 species
AUAAAAGUCCCUUACAAUUUCUGAUUAUUGGAAGAAAUUAAAGAAGGUCAUAAAGUAGUAGGAGUUGGCACAGUUAGCUGGGGGUCUAAAAAUGAUGAAGAGAUAACACAAGAUGGACAGAAGUUAUAGUUGGGUCUCUACAAACAAUUUAUGAAAAUUCGAUAUGCAACCUUAAAACAGGAUGUAGACCUAAAUAUACAGAAACACCCAACCCUUUGUAAUAUUUUAACAAAAAAUCAUAUGAAUGAAAUUAAUAGUUCUAAUUAAGUGGUGGACCUAAGAGCUGUAUUAGUGCCAGCAAAAUAACAGAACUAAUAUAGCAUUGGAGUUGUCAUGCAAC